AAAUUGAAGAGUUUGAUCAUGGCUCAGAUUGAACGCUGGCGGCAGGCCUAACACAUGCAAGUCGAACGGUAACAGGAAGCAGCUUGCUGCUUUGCUGACGAGUGGCGGACGGGUGAGUAAUGUCUGGGAAACUGCCUGAUGGAGGGGGAUAACUACUGGAAACGGUGGCUAAUACCGCAUAACGUCGCAAGACCAAAGAGGGGGACCUUCGGGCCUCUUGCCAUCAGAUGUGCCCAGAUGGGAUUAGCUUGUUGGUGAGGUAACGGCUCACCAAGGCGACGAUCCCUAGCUGGUCUGAGAGGAUGACCAGCCACACUGGAACUGAGACACGGUCCAGACUCCUACGGGAGGCAGCAGUGGGGAAUAUUGCACAAUGGGCGCAAGCCUGAUGCAGCCAUGCCGCGUGUAUGAAGAAGGCCUUCGGGUUGUAAAGUACUUUCAGCGGGGAGGAAGGUGUUGUGGUUAAUAACCGCAGCAAUUGACGUUACCCGCAGAAGAAGCACCGGCUAACUCCGUGCCAGCAGCCGCGGUAAUACGGAGGGUGCAAGCGUUAAUCGGAAUUACUGGGCGUAAAGCGCACGCAGGCGGUCUGUCAAGUCGGAUGUGAAAUCCCCGGGCUCAACCUGGGAACUGCAUUCGAAACUGGCAGGCUUGAGUCUUGUAGAGGGGGGUAGAAUUCCAGGUGUAGCGGUGAAAUGCGUAGAGAUCUGGAGGAAUACCGGUGGCGAAGGCGGCCCCCUGGACAAAGACUGACGCUCAGGUGCGAAAGCGUGGGGAGCAAACAGGAUUAGAUACCCUGGUAGUCCACGCCGUAAACGAUGUCUACUUGGAGGUUGUGCCCUUGAGGCGUGGCUUCCGGAGCUAACGCGUUAAGUAGACCGCCUGGGGAGUACGGCCGCAAGGUUAAAACUCAAAUGAAUUGACGGGGGCCCGCACAAGCGGUGGAGCAUGUGGUUUAAUUCGAUGCAACGCGAAGAACCUUACCUGGUCUUGACAUCCACGGAAGUUUUCAGAGAUGAGAAUGUGCCUUCGGGAACCGUGAGACAGGUGCUGCAUGGCUGUCGUCAGCUCGUGUUGUGAAAUGUUGGGUUAAGUCCCGCAACGAGCGCAACCCUUAUCCUUUGUUGCCAGCGGUUAGGCCGGGAACUCAAAGGAGACUGCCAGUGAUAAACUGGAGGAAGGUGGGGAUGACGUCAAGUCAUCAUGGCCCUUACGACCAGGGCUACACACGUGCUACAAUGGCGCAUACAAAGAGAAGCGACCUCGCGAGAGCAAGCGGACCUCAUAAAGUGCGUCGUAGUCCGGAUUGGAGUCUGCAACUCGACUCCAUGAAGUCGGAAUCGCUAGUAAUCGUGGAUCAGAAUGCCACGGUGAAUACGUUCCCGGGCCUUGUACACACCGCCCGUCACACCAUGGGAGUGGGUUGCAAAAGAAGUAGGUAGCUUAACCUUCGGGAGGGCGCUUACCACUUUGUGAUUCAUGACUGGGGUGAAGUCGUAACAAGGUAACCGUAGGGGAACCUGCGGUUGGAUCACCUCCUUACCUUAAAGAA
rnacentral:rRNA from 4 species